rnacentral:rRNA from 1 species
GACGAACGCUGGCGGCGUGCUUAACACAUGCAAGUCGAGCGGAGCGGCGAACGGGUGAGUAACGCGUGGGUAACUGCCCCCCUCUCUGGGAUAACAGUUGGAAACGGCUGCUAAUACCGGAUAGUGGGGGAUGACUCGCGUCCUAUCAGCUUGUUGGUGGGGUAGUGGCCUACGAAGGCGACGAGGGGUAGCCGGCCUGAGAGUGCGACCGGCCACAGUGGUCUGAGAUACGGCCCAGACUCCUACGGUAGGCAGCGGUGGGGAAUAUUGCACAGUGGGGGAACCCGUGAUGCGGCAACGCCGCGUGCGGGAUGACGGCCUGCGGGUUGUAAACCGCUUUCAGCCAUGAUGCGGUAGUGGCAGAAGAAGCACCGGCUAACUACGUGCCAGCAGCCGCGGUAAUUC